rnacentral:lncRNA from 1 species
GUCACAUGGUGUUAUAUAGCCGAGGCCCAUAACGUCUCUUCUGCUUGCUUACGUCACAGACCACGCGCUACUGUCCAUCAAGGGAGGGGCUCCACCUUUCCGUACAGCGCAACAUCUUCCGGCCGCCAGACCCUAACUACCCACACUCUCGAGGGCUGUAUUCCUUGUGAUUCUCUGAAGCAGCUCUCUAGAGAGUUCCUGGUAAGGGGCUGUGCAUCACCGAGGACUGACAGUGUGGCAAUGCACUACACACUGAAACAGGUCAGAGACAAGAUGUGAAGUUCUGUACAUCUCCCUUAAAAGCAUAGAACACAAAUUGAUGGAUAGCAGCAGCAUGUGGAAACAAUUUCUUUUUUCCUUUACAUUGAAAAUCAGUGCUAUUAUAUACUUAUGUGAGAAAUUUUUAGAUAUUUUCCUCUGCAAUAAAUUAUAUUGCAUGUGGCUAUGGAG